GACGAACGCUGGCGGCGUGCUUAACACAUGCAAGUCGAACGGAAAGGCCCUGCUUUUGUGGGGUGCUCGAGUGGCGAACGGGUGAGUAACACGUGAGUAACCUGCCCUUGACUUUGGGAUAACUUCAGGAAACUGGGGCUAAUACCGGAUAGGAGCUCCUGCUGCAUGGUGGGGGUUGGAAAGUUUCGGCGGUUGGGGAUGGACUCGCGGCUUAUCAGCUUGUUGGUGGGGUAGUGGCUUACCAAGGCUUUGACGGGUAGCCGGCCUGAGAGGGUGACCGGCCACAUUGGGACUUAGAUACGGCCCAGACUCCUACGGGAGGCAGAAGUGGGGAAUAUUGCACAAUGGGCGGAAGCCUGAUGCAGCAACGCCGCGUGCGGGAUGACGGCCUUCGGGUUGUAAACCGCUUUCGCCUGUGACGAAGCGUGAGUGACGGUAAUGGGUAAAGAAGCACCGGCUAACUACGUG
rnacentral:rRNA from 1 species